ensembl:miRNA
UUCAACAAGGGUGUAGGAUGGCCAGGGAAGCAUGCUGGGCCUUGGCAUUUCUAUGUUAGUUGGAAG